UACGGGGGGGGCAAGCGUUGUUCGGAUUUACUGGGCGUAAAGGGCGCGUAGGCGGCUUGUCAAGUCACUUGUGAAAUCUCUGGGCUUAACCCAGAACGGCCAAGUGAAACUGACAUGCUAGAGUGCAGAAGGGGCAAUCGGAAUUCUUGGUGUAGCGGUGAAAUGCGUAGAUAUCAAGAGGAACACCUGAGGUGAAGACGGGUUGCUGGGCUGACACUGACGCUGAGGCGCGAAAGCCAGGGGAGCAAACGGG
rnacentral:rRNA from 1 species